UUGUUUCCCUCCUUUUCUUCAGGGUUUUUGGAGAUGGUGACAACAACAAUAUCAAUUCUUCAGCAUCAGUUAUAGAAAUGUGGAUUGCUCCUGUUCGCAUCGUCACUGUCAAAAACACUGAAGAAAAGGAAAGUGUUUUUCUCCCCUAUAACGGCUGAGAAGGAGGCCCUCGGGACACAGGAUCUUGAUUAAAUAGUCUAGCCCUGAAUGACCUGUCGAAGAACUUUAGGACGGGCUGCAGAAACAAAGACUCUCCCUGUUCGAAGUGACCUCAGCAGCCAUUUCAUCUAACCCCUACAUGGAACAGAAUUCCCACCACCACGUACCCAGCCAGUGGUCAUCCAGAUGUUACUUAGAAGUCUCCGGUGAGGGACAAUUGAUCACUACUUUCCAAGACAGGACAGUCUGCUCUUAAGGUCAAAUUAUGAGGAAUUUUAUCCUUCCUCAAAGCCCUAACUUUCCUCUCUCCAUCUUCUCCUCACUUGUUCCAAGUCCUGCCCUCUCAGACAAAAUACAAGAACUCUUAUCCCUAUGUCACAUGCCAGAUGUUAAAAUACUUAAAGGAAACUAGUAAUAUUGGCAAAGACCAUCAGAUUUGGGGUUCAGAAGACUUGGAUUCAAAUCUUUUCUCCAUUACUUACCAUCUAUAUGACCCUAACCUUAAACUUCUAUGGGUGCCUGUUUUCUUAUCUAUAAAAUGAAGAGGUUGCUCUCUAGGGUUCCUUCAGGCCCUAAAUCCUGUUACCCUAUGAGCUCAGAUUAUCAAAAUGGGUAUACACAGCUCCAAAUGAAAUGGAUUGUGGAUAAUGGUCUGGCUAAUUGAUUUCAGAUAGUCAAAAAGAGCUGUCUACAUUGAUCAGAUUAACUGGGGAAUUGCCUCUUUCCCACUUCACUUUCUGCUGAAUAGACUGUUCUCUACUCAUCAUUUGUAAGUUAAACUGGAAGACGCAUAUUUUGCAUUUCAAAAAAAAAAGCCAUG